UUAGUCUGCUGUGUCAGAGACCCUGCAGGGGCAGCUGGAGGAGCUGGAGAGGGCUGCUGCCCGCUUGGAAAAGCUCUGCCCUGCUCGGAUGUGUACUGUCAGCCCAGAGGUGCAGGGAGCCCGGCAGGCCUGGGAAGGACUGCAGAAGCUGCUAAGGGAGAACAAGGCCCACGUGCAACAGGCUGGCCGGCUGCGGCAGUUCUUCAAGGAUUAUUUAGCCAUGAUCUCCUGGACAGAGGACACACGGGCUCAGAUCUUCUCAGAAAGCCCAGGCAGCCAUGGCCUUUUGGACACUCAGUGUGAGGAACUGGAGAGGAAGAUUGAAGGCAAGUUCAAGGAGUUUGAGGAACUGGCGGCAGUGGGGCAUACGUUGGUGUCUGAGGAGCACUAUCUGAGCGAGACGAUAAAGGAGCGCAUGGAGGAGCUGCAGAGCAUGCUGGGCUGGGUGCUGGUACGUUGGCGAGCGCAGAAACACCAGUGGGACCCUGGGAGCAAGCAGGAAGACAGAAAGAACCAUGAAAGUCCCUUGGGUGCGUCCUCCACCGGCCAGGAGCAGCAAGUCCUAUGCAUUCAGCCCCAUGCAGAGAGCAUCCUUAGCCUGAAAGGGUUUGCACCCUCCUCUCUGCCCGAAUCUAUGCAAGAAUUAGAGCUGCAGCCGCAGGUGCUGGAGGAAACAGCCAUCUCCCCUGCAGUGUCACCCCUCUUGGAUGCCCUGUUGGGACCGGAGCCCAGCAGCUCGGCGCCCCAUGGUGCGGGACCCCCUGAGGAGGAGGGUCUCAUCUGGGAUCCCUCCGAGACCUCCAUGAUGUUGCUGCCGCCACGGGGGGCUGGCAGCCUGGGGGGGACAGUCAAC
rnacentral:lncRNA from 1 species